rnacentral:lncRNA from 1 species
UCCUCACAUUUUCAAAAGCAACUCUCAAUAGCAAUAUAUUAAUUAUUUUGAUAGACAGUAAUGCUAUGACACCAACUAUUAACUAUGUAUAAAUGUAUACAAAUAAAUAAGUGAUAUAUACUGAACAUUUUCAAACUUCUUCUCAUAAAUUUAAAGUGAAGAGACAAAAUGCCAUCAGAAUCAAAUACGAGCAUUUGCAGUAUGAAGUUAUGUUUUGUUAUUAUAGCUGGGAUCACAAUUUGUACAAUAUUUUUUGGUUUCAUAAUUUAUAUCAUAAUACGGGCUUCACAGCGGGUUUAGUCCGGUUAUAUGGAAUGCCGGGAAAUCCAUAACUGUAGGCUAUGAAAUAUUUCCAAAGUAUUUUUACAACUUCAAAACAGCCUCAAGUUCUUUAGAUAGUACUUUUCCAGUGAAAAUAUAAAUAUUUACCAAUAAACUUGUUUUAAAAAUA